UACGGGGGGGGCAAGCGUUGUUCGGAAUUACUGGGCGUAAAGGGCUCGUAGGCGGCCAACUAAGUCAGACGUGAAAUCCCUCGGCUUAACCGGGGAACUGCGUCUGAUACUGGAUGGCUGGAGUUUGGGAGAGGGAUGCGGAAUUCCAGGUGUAGCGGUGAAAUGCGUAGAUAUCUGGAGGAACACCGGUGGCGAAGGCGGCAUCCUGGACCGGUAUUGACACUGAGGCGCGAAAGCCAGGGGAGCAAACGGG
rnacentral:rRNA from 1 species